rnacentral:rRNA from 1 species
UACGUAGGGGCUGCUAGCUGUCGGUCGAAUUAUUGGGCGUAAAGAGCUUGUAGGCGGUUUGUCGCGUCUGCUGUGAAAAUCCGGGGCUCAACCCCGGACUUGCAGUGGGUACGGGCAGACUAGAGUGUGGUAGGGGAGACUGGAAUUCCUGGUGUAGCGGUGGAAUGCGCAGAUAUCAGGAGGAACACCGAUGGCGAAGGCAGGUCUCUGGGCCACUACUGACGCUGAGAAGCGAAAGCAUGGGGAGCGAACAGG